rnacentral:lncRNA from 1 species
UUUAUAACCGAAUAUCCAUUUCCAUAAACCAAGUUACAACCAUUCUUAUUCUUUACAAUCACUUCAAUCAAGUUCAAAUUACAGCCAAAACCUAAUUACAUGGUCAUUUCUAAACCAAUACCAUUAUACAACCACUGCAAUUUCUAAUCCAAGGUUACAAGGUAACAUUACCACAUACAUUUCAUAAACUACAUAACCAUUACAACCAUUUCAUCACACUUCAAAUUCAAUAAUCUCAUACAUUUCUACUAUUACACAACAUGAACAUUUCAUAAACUACAUAACCAUUACAACCAUUUCAUCACACUUCAAAUUCAAUAAUCUCAUACAUUUCUACUAUUACACAACAUGAGCCAAUGCGACAAAGUCCGAAACAGCUCCAUUGCAUUUUACCAUCCAAGAUUCCAAGCAAGCCCCGAACUAAGCAACUCGCAUCCA